GUAGUCAACCAUGCCCAGGGACGUGGAUAACCUCGGGAAACUGAGGAUAAACCGCGAUAGGUCACUACUUCUGGAAUGGGUAAUGACCCAAACCUAUAUGGCCCCUGGAUUGGACUGCGGCCGAUCAGUGCUGUUGGUGAGGUAAUGGCCCACCAAACCUGUAACCUGGUACUGGGCUCUGAGAGGAGGAGCCCGGAGAUGGGCACUGAGACAAGGGCCCAGGCCCUAUGGGGCGCAGCAGGCGCGAAACCUACUGCAAUAGGCGAAAGCUUGACAGGAUUACUCUGAGUGAUUUCCGUUAAGGAGAUACUUAAUGGAAACUCUAAAAAUGGUGCAGAAUAAGGGGUGGGCAAGUAUGGUGCCAG
rnacentral:rRNA from 1 species